UGGGGAAUAUUGCACAAUGGGCGAAAGCCUGAUGCAGCAACGCCGCGUGAAGGAAGAAGGUCUUCGGAUCGUAAACUUCUGUCCUUGGGGAAGAAGAACUGACGGUACCCAAGGAGGAAGCCCCGGCUAACUACGUGCCAGCAGCCGCGGUAAUACGUAGGGGGCAAGCGUUAUCCGGAAUUAUUGGGCGUAAAGAGUACGUAGGUGGCAACUUAAGCGCAGGGUUUAAGGCAAUGGCUCAACCAUUGUUCGCCCUGCGAACUGGGAUGCCUGAGUGCAGGAGAGGAAAGCGGAAUUCCUAGUGUAGCGGUGAAAUGCGUAGAUAUUAGGAGGAACACCAGUGGCGAAGGCGGCUUUCUGGACUGUAACCGACAUUGAGGUACGAAAGUGUGGGGAGCAAACAGGAUUAGAUACCC
rnacentral:rRNA from 1 species